AUCUGGGCGGCGGAAUUCAGGAUGGUCGGGCGGGUCUCGCGCUCGUCCGGCCGUUUGAUAUUUCCGUCGCCGUGUCAGACGUCGCGACCUGUUCGUCGUCGGUCCUUGCUCGGAGGAAUCGCGGUCGAGUUCGUUGCGGGUGCGUUUCGGCGUGUCCCGCGGCGAAGGCGCGUCUUUCUGGCUGACGACGGACAGUAGGCAACGGUGUCCGGCGUCGUGUCUCGCACUCGACGUCGGUGCCGGUCAGCGACGAUUUCUUCGGGCCUCUUUCCGACCCGUCUUGAAACACGGACCAAGGAGUCUAACAUGCGCGCGAGUCGCGGGGUUUCGAGCGUGCCACGGUGCGCUCGUUACUUCCGAAACCCGUACGUUGAAGGCGUAAUGAAAGUGAACAGGGAAGAUGGCGUUCCGAGUCCACGUACCGUGAUCGAGUAUCGCGGCCGGACGCCCGCACUCCCGGGGCGUCUCAAUGGUUCGUCGCGGAUGCGGACGGUCGUCUUUCGGGGCGGCCGUCGGUCUGCGACGGUCCGA
rnacentral:rRNA from 3 species